rnacentral:rRNA from 1 species
GACGGAGGGGGCAAGCGUUGUUCGGAAUUACUGGGCGUAAAGGGCGCGUAGGCGCCUUCUAAGUCAGACGUGAAAUCCCCCGGCUUAACCUGGGAACUGCGUCUGAUACUGGACGGCUUGAGUAUGGGAGAGGGAUGUAGAAUUCCAGGUGUAGCGGUGAAAUGCGUAGAUAUCUGGAGGAAUACCGGUGGCGAAGGCGGCAUCCUGGACCAUUACUGACGCUGAGGCGCGAAAGCUAGGGGAGCAAACGGG